rnacentral:rRNA from 1 species
ACUACGGAGAGUUUGAUCCUAGCUCAGGACGAACGCUGGCGGCAGGCUUAACACAUGCAAGUCGCACGAGAACGCUCUGGCUUUGCCAGGGCAAGUACAGUGGCGGACGGGUGCGUAACGCGUAGACAACCUGCCCUCAGGCGCGGGACAAUCACGGGAAACCGUGGCUAAUACCGCACGACGUCCGGAGCCCGCAUGGGAACCGGAUGAAACCCCGUUUUGCGGGGGCCUUUGGAUGGGUCUGCGUCGGAUUAGCUUGUUGGUGAGGUAACGGCUCACCAAGGUAACGAUCCGUAGCUGGUCUGAGAGGACGAUCAGUCA